GAAGGUAUAGCUCAGUGGUAGAGCAUGUGUCUAGCAUGCGCGAGGUCCUAGGUUCAAUCCCUAGUGCUUCCA
rnacentral:tRNA from 1 species